rnacentral:lncRNA from 1 species
GUAUGGGGGCAAACAAAGCGCUUGAAAAUGGAGAAAUGUGUUUCUGAUUGUUCAAUUAAUGUUAAUAGUCAUCCGAACUUGACUUUUUAUAUUUUGCUUCCUGAUCCAAAGAGAAGAAAAUCGGGGCUUUAUGCUUUAUAUAGAACUGAUUCAUCUUGCAAAAACAAACUUUGGUCGCAAAACAUGUCUAAAAUAUUAUGUACAAAAAAGUCAUUGCAAUAAAUCUCAAGUUAUUCAAGUCAGUGAACAAAUAAGUACUGACAAUUCGUUGACUGGAGUGGAAGAUGUUAGUGUCUCGUACCAACAUGAAACAACAAGUUAACUUAGCUGAGAAUGAUGGUAGUUUAAAAGUAAUGCAGCAUUGGCUAGGAUUGUUCCUAGGUCACAAAAACAAUCUUACAAAUAGAGUUUCUGCUGUUGUUACUGAUUUUAGAGAGUACCUUCGUGAAUGAAGAUAAAAAGUCAUUUAUGUUAUUUUUUAAAAGCCAAGACAUAAUAUUGUUAAUCCUCAUACUAUUUACUAAAAAACUUUAUAAAUAUUGUUACGAUGUUAUAAUUCAAGUUGUUGUAAUUAGUAAUUUUGAUCAUUUCAUUAUUAUACUGUAAAAAAUAUUUUUUAUUUAUAACAAUUAUUUCACAUAUAUUAAAAACAUGAGGAAUAAAUAUUACACUGAGGAAAAUUUUAAGCAAAAUAUAGAAUUUUUAAAUGUUAUUAGAAUAUCAAUAUGUAAUA